rnacentral:rRNA from 1 species
GUGGGUGAGGAGAGUAUCCUAAGGCCAGCGAGAGAACUGUUGUUAAGGAACUCGGCAAAAUGACCCCGUAACUUAGGGAUAAGGGGUGCCACCAUCAGGUGGCCGCAGAGAAUAGGCCCAAGCGACUGUUUACCAAAAACAUAGGUUUCUGCUAAGUCGCAAGACGAUGUAUAGGAGCUGACGCCUGCCCGGUGCUGGAAGGUUAAGGGGAUCUGUUAGAGCAAUCGAAGCAGUGAACUUAAGCCCCAGUAAACGGCGGCCGUAACUAUAACGGUCCUAAGGUAGCGAAAUUCCUUGUCGGGUAAGUUCCGACCCGCACGAAAGGCGUAACGAUUUGGGCACUGUCUCAACAACAGACUCGGUGAAAUUGUAAUUCCGGUGAAGAUGCCGGAUACCUGCGACAGGACGGAAAGACCCCAUGGAGCUUUACUGUAGCUUGACAUUGGGUCUUGGUACUACAUGUACAGGAUAGGUGGGAGGCUUUGAAACCAGGACGCCAGUUUUGGCGGAGCCAUCCUUGGGAUACCACCCUUGUAGUACUGGGACUCUAACCAUAGGCCAUGAAUCUGGUCUUGGGACACUGUCAGGUGGGCAGUUUGACUGGGGCGGUCGCCUCCCAAAAGGUAACGGAGGCGCUCAAAGGUUCUCUCAGUACGGUCGGAAAUCGUACGUAGAGUGUAAAGGCAAAAGAGAGCUUGAUUGCAAGACAUACAGGUCGAGCAAGGAUGAAAAUCGGACUUAGUGAUCCGGUGGUUCUGCGUGGAAGGGCCAUCGCUCAACGGAUAAAAGCUACCCUGGGGAUAACAGGCUUAUCUCCCCCAAGAGUCCACAUCGACGGGGAGGUUUGGCACCUCGAUGUCGGCUCAUCACAUCCUGGGGCUGUAGUAGGUCCCAAGGGUUGGGCUGUUCGCCCAUUAAAGUGGUACGCGAGCUGGGUUCAGAACGUCGUGAGACAGUUCGGUCCCUAUCCGUCGCAGGCGUAGGAAAUUUGAGAAGACCUGUCCUUAGUACGAGAGGACCGGGAUGGACGUACCUCUGGUGUACCAGUUGUCUGCCAAGGGCAUGGCUGGGAGCUAUGUACGGAAUGGAUAAGCGCUGAAAGCAUCUAAGCGCGAAGCCAACUUCAAGAUAAGAUUUCCCACCGCAAGGGUAAGACCCCAGAAAGACUAUCUGGUUGAUAGGUCGAAGGUGUAAGUGCAGCAAUGUAUUUAGCUUAUCGAUACUAAUAGGUCGAGGACUUGACCA